AUCUUAUAUCAGUAGGAGAAAUCUUGCUGGGAACUUUACAGCAUCUUUUCUAAACAUGAGUCUCAAUCUGAACAGGCAUGAGGCAAAAUUCAUUCAUGCUAUCGUUGAAACGGUUACCCAGAGCCUGAACCGUGUAAGAUUGAUUUUGCCUUUGCAUUUAGUUGGAAUGGACACUCGGCUACAAGGCAUUAAUUCAUGGUUAA
rnacentral:lncRNA from 1 species